UUUCACGUAUGACCCCUUUAAACCCCAAUUGUUAUGAUGGCCCAUUAUUACAAAAUUAUCACGCACAGAUACUGAGGCGAUAAGAACUCUACAGAGAUACAUAUUUACGUUCCAAUUUUGUACAACUGUGUUGGGUGUUCUCUAUUUGGGUAGAAAAUAGCGGGACGGAGGAGGGUAGGAGACGAAAGAUUGUACUACAGUCCAGCGCCGAUGAGAAACCACAACCAGCAAAAGCUGCACCAACUGAAGUCGAAGUCAAAAUCUUUAUCAUUACCCGAAAGGAGAGGAGUAGGGUCAGGUUUGGAUGACGGAGCUGCUCCAUCAAAAACUAACUUGGAUCGGUUCUUGAAGUACACCACCCCUGCUGUUGUAGCUCAGUGUUACCCUAAGACAAGUGUGAGGGGAUGGAGAAAUCGUGAUAGUGAGUUCCACCCAUACUUCGUACUUGGUGAUCUUUGGGACUCCUUCCGGGAGUGGAGUGUCUAUGGAGCCGAAGUCCCGCUGUUGCUGAACGGGAAUGAUUAUGCUGUCCAAUAUUAUGUGCCACACUGUCUGCUAUGCAACUGUAUGUAGAUCCAUCAAGCUCGUUGAUGGAGAUAAGGAAACCUGGAGAGGGAAGCGAUGCCGAUUCUUCCCUGGAGACAAAUAGUGAUGAAAGCAGUCAUUGUGAACCUGAUAGAGGAGCUAAUAAUACAAGGGGAACUUGGAACCGGCAGAACACCACAGGCCAAGGAUAUCAUCCUGGUCGUCUUAUAUUUAAGCACUUGGAGCAGGAUCUUCAAUUUCUUCGUGAACCAUUAGCUGAUAAGGCAAGCCCUCUCGUCUCCUAGAGCAUUGUACAUCUGUCUUUGGUUUCUGUUAUGUCAAUAUAAAAUCCUUGCAUUUUCUUGAAUUGAUCAGAUUUCUAUCCUCGCAUCUCGCUUUCCUGAACUUAGAACAUAUAGAAGCUGUGAUCUGACUCUUGCAAGCUGGAUUUCUAUUGCUUGGUGUCCCAUAUAUAGGCUACCUGUAGACUCAACUCUGGAAAACAUUGACGCCUGGUUUCUGACUUUCCAUUCCCUUGCCACACCUGUCAGGAGAACCGAUUGGCCACAAUUCCAUGUUUCAACGGUCGAUGAACAGUUGCAGGAUGCAGGCAUUUCCCCGAAGCUCUCAUUACCAACGUUUGGUCUCGCUUCUUGUAAGUUCAAAGUUAAUGAUUGGAAUGCUGGAGGAGUCGAUGAAUGCCAGAAGUUUGACUCUCUUGUGCGAGGUGCUGAUAAAUGGCUUAUGCUGUUGAAAGUUAAUCACCCUGACUACAUUUUUUUCGUGUCGCACAGCUCGUUCUGGAGGUGGAUAUUAAAGCUUUUGAAUUCCGAGCUGCCACUUGCCUUCGAAGAAUAUGCGAGCUCAAAGCAUGGGAUUGAGAGAUGUUAAUAAUGAAUUAUAGAACCUGGGUAACUAGCAUUUAUUUAGUUAUGCUAAUACUACUGUGGUUGAGGAUGGGGUUAGGGACUAGAAUAAUCUGUGGUAGUUGAUAUUCAGCCUAUUUUGCAUCGAGCUGUGUCCCACCCCCAUGUGACAGCCCCUGUACAGGCCCAGACCUGUGCAGGAAGCUUUUUCCUUUUGCAUUUAUAAGUUCAGCCUGUAAUGUUAACUUUUGCAUCUAGAGGUUCAGAAGUUCAGUGUUUA